rfam:Erinaceus europaeus unplaced genomic scaffold scaffold00740, whole genome shotgun sequence
CCUCCUUUUCUUGGUGGAUAUCGGGUUGCAGUCCCUGUCCGUGUAAUGUACUUAAUGUAUGGAGGCAGAGGACAAGGGCUCUGGGCCCCUUGGCAUUAUAUCUUUGGUGUUUUGGUACUGAUGGCUUCCAAUCCACCAGUUCUAUCCUCAAGCACUGGGACAUGG